UCCUCUCUUUUUUUUCUCUUUCCUUUUCCAUUCCCCUUUCUCUUUUUUUUUCUUUUUUCUUUUCUCUAUAACUUUCUUGCCUCUCAUUUUUUCGACGAUCGGAGAGACACCAAGAUGGUGAAGAAGAUAGCGUCAAAUAAGCAUCAUUCAAAUUUCAAGCAUCACAUUUACGAUUGUAUGGUGAGGAAGCACUAAAAACUAAUUGCUAUAAAAUUUUCUGAUGUGCAAAAUUCGGGGAUUGGAGGAGAUCGGUUGUUGAUGUCGGUGGAGAAUGUAUUAUUGUAUAGUUUUGACAAUUUAUAUGAAGGAGUGAAGAAGCUGAUGAAGAUUUCUAGGACCGUUGGAAUUUAUUUAAUCCCAAUCUUUGCCCUUCUUGUUAAUUUUAUUUUAGAUUUACUUAUCCUUUUAGUUUCUUCUGGUGAUAAUUGCUACAAAAAAAUUUUAUCUUUGUAUUGAAUUUUGGAUUUUCUUUUUUAAAUUAAAUAAUGAUUUUUUUUGUGAUGUUUGUGCUUGGCUGCAUCAAUGAAACUGAAACAUAAAAAGAGACUCAUUGGAGAUGAGUAAGAUGAGAGAUUAGCGUUAGAUGUCAUUGAUGAGUUUUUGAAGCUUUUUGUUUUGUGAGAAAGAAGAAGAAGAAGAAGAAGAAGAAGAAGGAAAAUUAAUAAAAAAAAAAUAAUAAUUAAAAUUAUAUAUGUUUAUGUAAAGAAAUAUUAAAAGUAAAAAUUUAAUAUAUUCUUUUCAUGCUUACUCUUUCAAAGAGAGUGACAUGCACUCACUUUGUCAUCUCAGCAUUUAGGAAGCAGAUAACUUUAUUUUUAUAUAAUUUAGAGGGUUGAUAUAAUGCCCAUAAAAGUUGAGUGUGUAAUUGAAAUUUCGGGUAAAGAUUGAAG
rnacentral:lncRNA from 1 species